GGGCAGUUGGCGGAGUGGUCAAUCGCAACAGACUGUAAAUCUGUCGAGCUAUGCUCUACGGAGGUUCAAAUCCUUCACUGCCCA
rnacentral:tRNA from 1 species